CAGGGUCCUCCCUGGCUUGCCUACGACCACCCUAACUUCAUCCAGCGCCUGGCUCUCAACAGCAGCCACAGCGCCCCCCAGUGGUCCGAUGGAUUCAUGUCUUUCCAUGGGCGCGUGUACCAUCAGUUCAUGACGGCCAUCAUCCACCUCUAUGCAGUGUCUGUGCUUCCCACUGAGGCGUCCGACGACAUGCCCGACCUAAACGAUGGUCAGGAAACGAGACUUUGUCUAAAACUUGGGCAGCAGUGUUGGGCAGCUGUGCCCAUCUUUACUCGUGGAUACUGCAAUACAACAAGCUACCAGCUGCCUCUCAUUCACGGCGCCCCGUCACAGAAAGUGCUUAGUGCAUUGAGCAAUGGGAAAUGCAAGCAUGUUCUAAAGGAUCUGCUGCAGAAUAAUGAGGUGCAGCUGCUCUCGGGAGCCAGUGUGUGUGUGAGAGUGGCCGACGGGCGCAGGCACCAGGAGUUGGACCAACCGGAG
ensembl:lncRNA